UUUCAGGCCUCCGCUUGAUGAGGAAUACCCCGAGAGCGAGGACGACAGCGAGCAUGGCUUAUGGAGUUUUGCAAGGAUCGAAAACUUUGCACGAAACUGGUAAGCUUUUCUUUCAAGAUGCUUGUGCUGAUCGAUCUGGAGAGCAUCGGGAAAGUGCCAGCGUUUGCAUUUAAAGGCUGGAUCGCAACAACGUUGGAGGCUGACCGGCGUUACACGAUUCUAUCUGACUUCCAUCAACUCGGACUCGUGCUCCAGUCUACAGAAGUCGAACCAAAGAGGAAGGACUGCUUGGAGUUCAUCGAUUUGCUCUAGAGCAAACUCAGGCGACCACUGCUAAAAGCUUUCUCGAACACAAGUGGAUCUCGCG
rnacentral:lncRNA from 1 species